rnacentral:tRNA from 1 species
GCGCCCUUAGCUCAAUUGAAUAGAGCACCUGGCUUCGGACCAGGGGGUUGUGGGUUUGAGUCCUACAGGGCGCACCA